GGGUGACAGGUGGUGCAUGGUUGUCGUCAGCUCGUGUCGUGAGAUGUUGGGUUAAGUCCCGCAACGAGCGCAACCCUCGACCUUAGUUGCCAGCAUUCAGUUGGGCACUCUAAGGUGACUGCCGGCUAAAAGUCGGAGGAAGGUGGGGAUGACGUCAAAUCAUCAUGCCCCUUAUGACCUGGGCUACACACGUGCUACAAUGGGCGGUACGAAGGGUCGCGAACCCGCGAGGGGGAGCCAAUCCCAAAAAGCCGCUCUCAGUUCGGAUUGCAGGCUGCAACUCGCCUGCAUGAAGCCGGAAUCGCUAGUAAUCGCGGAUCAGCAUGCCGCGGUGAAUACGUUCCCGGGCCUU
rnacentral:rRNA from 1 species